rnacentral:misc_RNA from 1 species
UUUUGAAAAAUGUGAAAAACAAAAUCUUAACAUUUUGAGUUCCCUUUCAAGUUUGGAUUGAAUUCAUAUUGCAAGUAAUAGAAUCAUCUGAAUCUACAAGCCAAUGUGCCUAAUUGGCUAAAACUUAACCAGACCUUUCUACCAAUGACUGACAUAAAAGGUGAUAUCUCCAUCCUUUUUGCAUGCUUGUAGCAUAUACAACACAAGUUUCUCCCUUCUCUUACUCUAACCAUCAGUGUGUUUGGAGAAUUACACAUCUGCUUGUGCUUUGCUGGCUAGCGAUGGCCCCUUUUAGGAGCUGAUGAAGUUGCUCUAAUAAAAAGUUAUUUUUUUUAAAGCAAGUCCUAAUGCAUAGGAAGUCCUAAUUAUACUUUAUUAUCAAAUAUAAAGAGGGACUCAUUAUCUUCAUCAUCAUAUUCAUCAUCAUCAUUAUUAUUGUUAUUUUUGAACAGCAUCUGAACUACAGGUUGAGAGUUAGAACUAUUCAUGGAUACCAUCCCCAUAUAACUGGAAUAAACUCAAUUUCAGUUCCACAUUAACCCCUUAUUGAUUCCAUUCUAUUUCACUUUAACUCAAAAUCCUAAAAUAUCCAAAUAAUUAGCCCAACUACGUGGCUCAUGGAAUAGUGACACUAUACCACAAGUUCAUUGCAUUCCUUUAUCAUUCCACAAUAACUAAUAAAAAUUCACCUCUAAAACAGUAAUUCAAUGCACCUAUGAAUAUGAAGUUCGCGUACUUUUCACUUACAAUGGAGACGAUGGCUCUGAAUAAAUGAUGAUCAUUUUCAAUUAAAUUCGAUUUAGUUGAGUAAUGUUGAAGUAGCAAAAAAAAGAGACCAAAAGUAUCCUUCUUUACAUCUAAAUUAGCAUAUCAACAUAAACAUUUAACUAUAAAUUGAUCCCAUCGUACUAUGACAAUAAUUCACGCUCCCUUCAGCUUAAAAUCUAAAUUUGCGAAGUACUAACCCAUCUUCUUCAUUAAUCUACACGACUUAAGCCUCACUCCAAUGAUAUGGAAUUGGCACGACUUAAGCCUCACUCCAAUGAUAUGGAAUUGG